rnacentral:rRNA from 1 species
ACGAACGCUGGCGGCUGCUUAACACAUGCAAGUCGAACGGAGUGGCGAACGGGUGAGUAACGCAUGAGCAACCUGCCUAUGCCAGGGGGAUAGCCUCGGGAAACCGGGAUUAAUACCGCAUAGACAUCGAUGGGCUCGCUUUUGAUUAGCUAGUUGGUGAGAUAACAGCCCACAAAGGCGACGAUAAGUAGCCGGUCUGAGAGGAUGAACGGCCACAUUGGAACUGAGACACGGGCCAAACUCCUCCGGGAGGCAGCAGUGGGGAAUAUUGCACAAUGGGGGAAACCCUGAUGCAGCGACGCCGCGUGAACGAAGAAGGUAUUCGUAUCGUAAAGUUUUGUCCUAUGGGAAGCAGUACCAUAGAAGAAAGCUCCGGCUAAAUACGUGCCAGCAGCCGCGGUAAUUC